GAUGAACGCUGGCGGCGUGCCUAAUACAUGCAAGUCGAGCGAACGGACGAGAAGCUUGCUUCUCUGAUGUUAGCGGCGGACGGGUGAGUAACACGUGGAUAACCUACCUAUAAGACUGGGAUAACUUCGGGAAACCGGAGCUAAUACCGGAUAAUAUUUUGAACCGCAUGGUUCAAAAGUGAAAGACGGUCUUGCUGUCACUUAUAGAUGGAUCCGCGCUGCAUUAGCUAGUUGGUGAGGUAACGGCUUACCAAGGCAACGAUGCAUAGCCGACCUGAGAGGGUGAUCGGCCACACUGGAACUGAGACACGGUCCUGACUCCUACGGGAGGCAGCAGUAUGGAAUCUUCCGCAAUGGGCGAAAGCCUGACGGAGCAACGCCGCGUGAGUGAUGAAGGUCUUCGGAUCGUAAAACUCUGUUAUUAGGGAAGAACAUAUGUGUAAGUAACUGUGCACAUCUUGACGGUACCUAAUCAGAAAGCCACGGCUAACUACGUG
rnacentral:rRNA from 1 species